GGAAUAAAAGUCGUAACAAGGUUUCCGUAGGUGAACCUGCGGAAGGAUCAUUAUUGUAUAACCGAGGUGCGAGGGCUGUCGCUGACCCGAAAGGUCGUGCACGCCCGAGUGCCCUCACACACAUCCAUCUCACCCCUGUGUGCACCACCGCGUGGGUCCCCCUUUGGCUUGUUCGGAGGGGGGCUUACGUUUUCACACAAACUUUGUAUGCAGUGUAGAAUGUAUUUUUUGUUUUUGCGAUCACGCAAUCAAUACAACUUUCAACAACGGAUCUCUUGGCUCUC
rnacentral:misc_RNA from 1 species